rnacentral:misc_RNA from 1 species
UCUUCAGCUUGAGUGAUCGGGGUUACUUGACCUUCAGCAUCAACUUUGGUUGAGUGAAUGAAGGUCUUGUGGAGAUCUUGGUUGGCUGAUCUGUCUACUAGGCUAGCGGGGGAAAAUCCGCUUCAUAUGAGACAGGGGAAAACAUCAUACAUGGUUGUACCAAUAGUAAUGCAAGAGGUGAAAGAGGAGGAGGAGAAGGCCGCCGUCCUUCUUCUUUUCUAAUGAUUUCCAAAGCAAGUUCAUAAAUUGAAAGAGGCUUCUUUUGCUUGGUUUCUUCAUGGAUGCCUAUCCAUAGGCUGUUGUCAGGAUAAUCCUCCCUGAGAGUCUGAGGAGGUUUGCAAGAAGUUUUAGACUUCUUUGUAAGUUUCUUUCAAUUCUUGUCUGACAGAGGAUGGUCGUACUCAUUUUCCCAAUAAUUGUCACAACAGUCACAAUCUGGGUCGCACAUGCUAGAUCCUAGGAGAUCCCAAAGACAGUGACCAUCUAUCUUUAUAGGGUAGACAUAGUGAAUGUUUGGUGUAACUAUCCUGAUAGGAAAGUGUUCUUCUUCCUUUUCUAAUGGCUGAACCAUCAUGGUUUGAAAUACAGAUAAAGAUCCUGUGGAAUGCCGAGG